UACGUAGGGUGCAAGCGUUGUCCGGAAUUAUUGGGCGUAAAGAGCUCGUAGGCGGUCUGUCACGUCUGCUGUGAAAACUCGGGGCUUAACCCCGGGCCUGCAGUGGGUACGGGCAGACUAGAGUGCGGUAGGGGAGACUGGAAUUCCUGGUGUAGCGGUGAAAUGCGCAGAUAUCAGGAGGAACACCGGUGGCGAAGGCGAGUCUCUGGACAGUUACUGACGCUGAGGCACGAAGGCCAGGGGAGCAAACGGG
rnacentral:rRNA from 1 species